rnacentral:rRNA from 1 species
UACGUAGGGGGCUAGCGUUGUCCGGAAUCAUUGGGCGUAAAGAGCGUGUAGGCGGUCCGGUAAGUCCGCUGUGAAAGUCGGGGGCUCAACCCUCGAAUGCCGGUGGAUACUGUCGGGCUAGAGUGCGGAAGAGGCGAGUGGAAUUCCUGGUGUAGCGGUGAAAUGCGCAGAUAUCAGGAAGAACACCCGUGGCGAAGGCGGCUCUCUGGUACGUGACUGACGCUGAGACGCGAAAGCGUGGGGGAGCAAACAGG